CUCUCUAUAAGAGCUUGUCCUAGCCAUGAAAAAUCUUUUAGGACAAGUCUAUCUUUCCUCUAUAGGAAGAACAACCAACAUAUUACCUUCAAUGGUUAUUAUGUAAUUAACCCCUCUAAACGAUAGGAGUAUUUAUACGGAUACCAGGUGGAUUAUUUCUGGAUAUCCUUGCAAGCAUAAACCCUGCAUCAUGACUGAGAGAUAGGGUAUGUGAUGUGAUCCAGUGACCACAGAAAUGCGUUGGUAGACACAUUGCAUCAAAGUGCCUGUUAAUGACCAACUAUAAGAGGAGAGGGACCAUGCUUUUUAUAAGCAUGUCCAUACACGUAUUACAAUGCCAGGCUUUCAGUUUGUUACCAAAAAGCAAAAUGCAGUUGUGGAUAUAAACUCACGACGUAUCGUAAGAAAAACUGUUUGAACACCAGACUGAGACUCGAGAUCAGUGAACAGUGGACCAAAAUAGAUAAAUGAAAUCUUAUCAAUUAAUAUACUUUCAAUUUAUUUUCUUUAAAUUACUUUAUCCUCUGUAUUAACUAUGAAAUAUUAAAGUUAAAACAAUAACAUUUAAAAGCCAACUUUUAGUGUGGAUAGGAAUUACAAGGCCGUUCAUAAUGUGAGAUAAAGAACAGCUUUUUUUUAAAACCGAAUAGUCUGUGAACACAAAAUGACCUUGCGCUG